UUAAUAACACUAAGUAGUAGAUAAUAUCAUACCAAUGCAGAUGUACAACCCAAAUACAGCCCUAACCGGGGUAUCACUGGUCAUGAGCAUCUAUAAGUCAUAAUACAAGUCUGCUAAGUCUAUAAACUAGUACAACUGUCUGAAACAUGAUAGAAAUGAUAAAGGAGGAGAAACACAGGACUGCGAACGCCAGGCAGCUACCUCGUGUACUCCCGAAUGUCUGCUUGAAGCUAGAAUAAUCAGUACUCAGGAGCGAAACUAGCUACGCCUGAAUCUGCACAGAGGGUGCAGAGAGUAAAGUGAGUACUCCAACUCGGUGAGUAACAAAUGUAAAUAACAACUAAAAUCAUGAAAAUACGUAAGGCAUGAGGUAUUCUAUAAUGAAGAAGUAAAACCAUUUAAAAAACACUAAACCAGUUAAGAGGUAAGUAAAAGUCCUUUUUCAACAAGUAACCAUAUAAAUGACAGGCAAUUCAGGAAAAUAAAUACGUAAAGAUUUUCCCCUCAGGUACCGUUACAACAAAACCGCCCUCGGGCAACAUCCUAGAACAAUACCAGUCCCUCGGGCUGAAUCAUACAUCAUAAUGGGUGCUCGCACUCACUGGGGGUGCGUAGACUCCUGGAAGGGACCCUUAUGGCCCAAAUGCAAUAACAAGCCAUCUUGUGGCAUCAUAAGUAGGCUCUCGGCCUCAUAUCAACAUCAAGCCACCUCGUGGCACACAAUCUCAGGAACUAGGCCUCAAAUCAAUAUACAUGUUUCCUCACAACAUAGGCCUUCAGCCUUACUCACUCAAAAUCCUGACAAGCCACUUAGACAAUAGUAAAACAGUAUUUCUUAGCCCAAACAUCAAUUAAAUAUCAUUUAAUUAUUUAAACUGCUUAAACAUGGCUGAGUAUGAAAAUAAUGGAAAAUAAUAUGACUAAGUUCAAGUAUAAAGUCAAAAUCAUGAGGAAAUGUCAAUGAAAAUUUCUGAAGGAUUCAAAUAGAUGGCACGAAGCUCGAAAUGGCAUUCAACCCAAAUAAUGAUGAUACAAAAUAGAUUAUAGUCAAAUAAGUAGAAAAAACAUCAAUCAGGACGGACCAAGUCACAAUCCUAUUAGUGCACGACCCCACGAUCAUCAUAAAGCAUGUGCAUCACCUCAAUAUAGCACUACGAUGUGCAAAUCUAGGGUUUUAAACCCUCAGAACAUCAUUUACAAUCAUUACUCACCUCAAGCUAGUCAAAUCUCUAGCUCGCGAUGCCUUUUCCCCAAGAAGCGACAUCCACAUGCGUCGAAUCCAUUCAAAAUCAGAACGAGAAUGUCAAAAUAUUCCAAGGGAACAAAGCCCAAGAAAAAACAAUAAAUAAUUGACACAAAUCUCGAAAUUACCAAAAUCCGACCUCCAGACCCACGUCUCGAAAUUCAAUAAUUUUUACUUCAAUAGAUUCCUCAUCUCCCCACGAGUUCAUUCAUAACAAAAGUUUAGAAAUUUAACGUCAAAUGGUCCAUCAAAUCCUCCAUCAAAAGUCUAAAAUUCAAACCCCUAGUUCUUCACCUUUUGGCUUAAUUUCCGUGAUUUACUAGGUGGAAUUCACAUAAUAAUCGAGUUUUAAAUCCAAGAAUCUUACCUCAAUGUGAUUCCCCUUAAAUCCCUCUUCAAUCUCCAUCAAAAGGCUCCAAAAACAACCAACAAUGAAAGAGAUAAACCCCACAUCUGCCGACAAGAUGACCCUCAAAUCAUUUUGCUCAUGAUAAUUUCCUUCAUCGCGAUCGCGUAAAAACCUUCGCGAUCGCGAAGCACAUAAACUCAUCUCCCAAAAAUUACUUUAUGCGAACAUAUGAAAUCCCCUGCAAAUGUGAUGCCCAGGCAACUAACUCUAUGCGAUCUAGGACUAGCUACCGCGUUCGCAAUGAACAACUCAUUUCCAAGACCCUUGGUCCACUUAACUCUAUGCAACACGAUCACCUCCCCGCGUUCGCGAUCAACAACUUCACCACCUCUAUGCGAUCGCAGCUCCUCCUUCGCGAACGCAAAGACCAAACUGGACUACCCCUCAAAAGCUUCUAUGCGAUCACAGGAACCCUUACAUGAUCGUAGGGAAGGAAUCUCUGCAAUAGCUGAACCUGCAAUUCUGCAGCUUCUCUAAGGCAUGAAAUGGACACAUUGACCAUCCGAAACACACCCGAGGCCCCCUGGACCUCAACCAAAGGCACCAACAUAUCCUAAAACCUUACUAAAACUUAUAUCAAUCUUCAAAAAAUCUCAAACGACAUCAAAUCACCAAAAUGCAUCGGAUUCAAGCUUAAGUUUCCAAAAUCUUCAAAAGUACGCUCUUGAUCAAAAACCCAACAAAACCAUCUCCGAAUAACCUAAAAUUUUGCACACACGUCCAAAUAACGUAACAAAACUAUUACAACUCUCAGAGUUCAAUUCUGACCCCUAUUUCAAAAUCUUGCCUACUAAUCGACUUCGAAAAUUCAAGCCAAAAUCCACUCCAAACCUCAAAAACCCGUUCCGAUCAUACUCCUAAGUCUCAAAUCACAUCCCAAAGCUAACCGAACCAUCAGAACUCACAUUCAAACCCUCUAACACAUAAGUCAACAUACGGUUGACUUUUCCAGCUUAAACUUCCUCAAAAGAGACGAAGUGUCUCAAACUUCACUAAAAUCAUUCUGGAUUCGAUCCGACCUAAUCGAUACCAUAAAACACGGUUAAACAAAACAUAAAGAAGAGAAAAGGAGAAAACGAAGCGGUAACUCGUAAGAUGACUGGCUGGAUCGUCACAUAAAUAACAGUUCAAAAAAAAAGUGAAUUAAAUAUAAGACUAACGAAUGAUAACAAUGGCUGAUCUUUAGCUACAAAAAUUGGGAAAGAAUGAUUUUCUUCUAAUUUGUGAUUGAACCUGCAAGAGAAAGUGAAAAUAGAUGACCAAAAGCUUGAAAUUUUGGUGAGGGCAUGUAUUGAUAACACAGUCCAAGAACGUUUUUCUUGUUAAAAUAAAUAAAUCAAAAGAGUAAAACAUGAAGAAUAUCAUAUUUGAAGCAAGAAUUUUUAAUCGAAUUAAAAAAAAAGGAAACACAACUAUCCGUCUUUCCGCCCCUUAAAUUACCAACUUGAGUUGAAUUCUAAGUCAUAUCACAUACAAUAUAAUUUUGUCAAGGACUUUGAUGGGUUUCCAGAAGAAAAGAGACUCUCGUUUUAUCCAUGAAGGAAGGAGGAAAAGUGGAAGUGUCUUUUUAUCCGUGACGAUAAAAAGUAUUAGCAUUGAAAUUAUUGUUAUCAAAGAUGAAGAAGAAAGGGUUUUGAUAGAAAUUAAAGAGCUAUUACUACCAAUGAAGGAAGAAUGAAAGGUUUGGGUUUCUCAAUUAAAUUAAUCGGUAAAUGAAAGAAAAAGAAAUAUAUUACUCCAUUGAAUAAGGAAAAUGGGAAAAAGAAGAGAAAACUCAAUAAAUAGAGAAAAAAGAUAAAGGCAAUUUUGAAAAGAAAAGAGAUUGACAAAAAGUUAUGUGUUUCAGUUCAUUUUUAAAAAUAUUUUUAGAGAACUUCACCAAAAAAACUUCUUUUAUUUUCCACUUAAUUUUAUUUGAUUUGACAAGGAUAUAAUGGUAAUAUUUCGUAGUGGGCGAAAAUCAGAAAAAGGAAAAAGUAGACAAGGCUUACGAAAUGCUCGAGUAUUGGAGAACCAAUCGGCUUGCCGAAAUAACAAAACGAUCAGCGACCAAAUUUGGGACAAUAUGCCGCCGCCAAGGAUUAGCCAAUGCAUCAAAGAGCGCACAACGUCUCAAGCUUAAUAAUGGCUAGAAAAAGAAGGCAAUUUCAAUACUGGUGGUGGUCAGUGGGGUGGUCGGAAUCAGACAGUGGUGGUCGAGGGUCGGGAUUUAGGGGUAAAAUUAGAAAAGAAAUAUAAAUCUCUUUGAUAUAUACGCCUUUAUAUAGUAUUAUUGGGGUCUAGAGGCCUAGAACUCGACGGUUUUGAAAAGGGGGGUGCAGAGGGUUUCGGACAAAGCUAAAUUAAGAGAGAUUGGUGAGGAUUAUAAGAAUUUGGGGUUUGGAUACGAGUAGAGGAUGAAAAGAGGAGAAAAACGGUGUAAAAUUUGUGGUGUUUUUUCUUAAUCAUAUCUUUUUAAA
rnacentral:lncRNA from 1 species